rnacentral:rRNA from 1 species
CAGAGGAGCCAAGCGUUGUCCGGAUUGACUGGGCGUAAAGCGCACGCAGGCGGAUGCGCGCGUGGGGUGUGAAAUCUGGCCGCUUAACGGCCAGGCGCCAUCCCAUACGGCGCGUCUGGAGCCUUGCAGAGGUCGGUGGAAUUGCCGGUGUAGUGGUGAAAUGCGUAGAGAUCGGCAGGAACACCCAGGGGGAAACCAGCCGACUGGGCAAGUGCUGACGCUGAGGUGCGAGAGCGUGGGGAGCGAACCGGAUUAGAUACCCGGGUAGUCCACGCCGUAAACGAUGGCCACUCGGCCUUUGGGGGCGGAAUCUCCGUCCGUGGGGGCCUUAGCAAACGCGGGAAGUGGCCCGCCUGGGAACUACGAGCGCAAGCUUA